GCGUAAUAGCUCACUGGUCGAGAGGUCCUGCGCCGAAAAUGUCCGGGGCUGAAACGCGCCACCGAAACUAAGGAAUCAGAAAUGAUUGGUAGAGGAGCAUUGCAUGCGGGACGAAGCAGUACCGUAAGGAGCUGUGGACUGCAUGGAAGAGAGAAUGCCGGAAUGAGUAGCGAGAUAGAGGUGGGAAUCCUCUAGGCCGAAUAUCCAAGGUUUCCAGGGUAAAGCUGAUCUGCCCUGGGUGAGUCGGGACCUAAGGUGAGGGCGGGAGCCGUAGCCGAUGGACAACAGGUUGAUAUUCCUGUACUGCAGUAUGACAGAACUGUGGGGACACGUAAGGAGAGCGGGAGCCGGGAAUGGAAAGCCCGGUACAAGCGAGGUACCAGUACGGUAGGAAAAUCCGCCGUGCAAUGGGAAGACGUGAUGUGGAGCGAAAUUUAGUAGCGAAGCCCGUGAGCCAUGCGUCAAGAAAAGCCGCUAUUGUUUAUACUGUACCCGUACCGUAAACCGACACAGGUGGAUGAGGAGAGAAUCCUAAGGCCGGCGGAAGAAGUAUUGCCAAGGAACUCGGCAAAAUGGCCCCGUAACUUAGGGAGAAGGGGUGCCUGCGAGAGCAGGCCGCAGAGAAUAGGCUCAAGCAACUGUUUAGCAAAAACACAGGUCUAUGCGAAACCGAAAGGUGAGGUAUAUGGGCUGACGCCUGCCCGGUGCUGGAAGGUUAAGAGGAGAGGUUAGAGCAAUCGAAGCUUUGAAUUUAAGCCCCAGUAAACGGCGGCCGUAACUAUAACGGUCCUAAGGUAGCGAAAUUCCUUGUCGGGUAAGUUCCGACCCGCACGAAAGGCGUAAUGAUUUGAGCGCUGUCUCGACAAUGCAUCCGGUGAAAUUGAAGUACCAGUGAAGAUGCUGGUUACCCGCGCCAGGACGGAAAGACCCCAUGGAGCUUUACUCCAGUUUGGCACUGGGGUCCGGUGUUGCAUGUACAGGAUAGGUGGGAGGCUGAGAAACGGUAACGUCAGUUGCCGCGGAGCCGCUGUUGGGAUACCACCCUUGUGAUAUUGGGCUUCUAACCAGCCGCCGUAAUCCGGCGGUGGGACAAUGCCAGGCGGGGAGUUUGACUGGGGCGGUCGCCUCCGAAAGGGUAUCGGAGGCGCCCAAAGGUUCCCUCAGAAUGGACGGAAACCAUUCGAAGAGUGCAAAGGCAGAAGGGAGCUUGACUGCGACACCGACGG
rnacentral:rRNA from 1 species